rnacentral:lncRNA from 1 species
GUCAGCAAUAAUAUUUAUAAACCUUAUAAAUGCAUAAAAUACAUAUGAACAAGUUAACUAUUUAAUAUUCUUACAUUCCCCUCUUUGAGCAAUAAAAAAAUUGCUCAUCUUAUCGAUAAAAUCUUACCAGGACAGAGAAACCUCCACAUGGUAUUUUCAGGGGUGCUAGUCACUCCCUGCGGGACUUUCAUUAAUUUCUUCACCUCGAUUCCCAUGUGGUAAUUCCUAAGGCCCAGUUUAAAGAUGGGUUGAUACCCUCCAGUGGCAGAGAGGAGAAUUUCUAAUUGUUUCUGUUCUGCAUUAUGGAUUAAUUUCUGUACUCUCUUCCUCAAUGUACAAGUAAGGUGACAGUUAUAUAAAAUCAUACACAAUAAAAUCAGGACUAUAAUAACAAAAGGAUAGAAGAAU